CCUACGGGAGGCAGCAGUCGAGAAUUAUUCACAAUGGGGGAAACCCUGAUGGUGCGACGCCGCGUGGGGGAAUGAAGGUCUUCGGAUUGUAAACCCCUGUCAUGUGGGAGCAAAUUAAAAAGAUAGUACCACAAGAGGAAGAGACGGCUAACUCUGUGCCAGCAGCCGCGGUAAUACAGAGGUCUCAAGCGUUGUUCGGAAUCACUGGGCGUAAAGCGUGCGUAGGCUGUUUCGUAAGUCGUGUGUGAAAGGCGCGGACUCAACCCGCGGACGGCACAUGAUACUGCGAGACUAGAGUAAUGGAGGGGGAACCGGAAUGCUCGGUGUAGCAGUGAAAUGCGUAGAUAUCGAGAGGAACACUCGUGGCGAAGGCGGGUUCCUGGACAUUAACUGACGCUAAGGCACGAAGGCCAGGGGAGCGAAAGGGAUUAGAUACCCUUGUAGUC
rnacentral:rRNA from 1 species